GACAGUUCGGUCCCUAUCCGUCGCAGGCGUAGGAAAGUUGAGAAGACCUGUCCUUAGUACGAGAGGACCGGGAUGGACGUACCUCUGGUGUACCAGUUGUCCUGCCAAGGGAAUGGCUGGGUAGCUAUGUACGGAAUGGAUAAGCGCUGAAAGCAUCUAAGCGCGAAGCCAACUUCAAGAUAAGAUGUCCCACCGCAAGGGUAAGACCCCAGAAAGACUAUCUGGUUGAUAGGUCGAAGGUGUAAGUGCAGCAAUGUAUUUAGCUUAUCGAUACUAAUAGGUCGAGGACUUGACCAAU
rnacentral:rRNA from 1 species